rnacentral:rRNA from 1 species
UACGUAGGGUGCAAGCGUUAAUCGGAAUUACUGGGCGUAAAGCGUGCGCAGGCGGUUAUGCAAGGCAGAUGUGAAAUCCCCGGGCUCAACCUGGGAACUGCAUUUGUGACUGCAUGGCUAGAGUGCGGCAGAGGGGGAUGGAAUUCCGCGUGUAGCAGUGAAAUGCGUAGAUAUCGGGAGGAACACCAGUGGCGAAGGCGACUACCUGGCCUGUUCUUGACGCUGAGGCGCGAAAGCUAGGGGAGCAAACGGG